GGGCCUGUAGCUCAGUUGGCAGAGCACCGGACUUUUAAUCCGAGGGUCGUGGGUUCGAGCCCCACCGGGCCCACC
rnacentral:tRNA from 1 species